rnacentral:rRNA from 1 species
CCAACACUGGGACUGAGAUACUGCCCAGACUCUUACGGGAGGCUGCAGUCGAGAAUCAUUCGCAAUGGGCGAAAGCCUGACGAUGCGACGCUGCGUGAGUGAUGAAGGCCUUCGGGUCGUAAAGCUCUUUCGC